rnacentral:lncRNA from 1 species
GACCCUGUUUGCCUGGGUAUCACCAGCAGAGGCUGCAGAACAGCAAAUAUUGCUGCCUGUUCUUUCCUCUGGAAGCUUCGUCCCAGAGGGGCACCCGUCAGAUGCCAGCCAGAGCUCUCCUGUAUGAGGUGUCUGUUGGCCCUUACUGGGAGGUGUCUCCCAGUCAGGAUACAUGGGGGUCAGGGACCCACAUGAGGAGGCAGUCUGACCCUUAGCAGAGCUUGACCACUGUGCUGGGAGGUCCGCUGCGGUCUUCAGAGCUGUCUUUUUUCAGAGAUGCCGUGCCCAGAGAGGAGAAAUCUAGCAGUCUGUCCACAGCAGCCUUGCUGAGCUCCAGUGGGCUCUGCUCAGUUUGAAGUUCCCAGAGGCUUUGCUUACACUGUGAGGAUAAAACCGCUUACUCAAGCCUCAGCAGUGGCAGAUGCCCCUCCCCCCACCAAGCUGGAGCAUCCCAGGUCUAUCUCAGACUGCUGCUGUGUUGUCAGCGAGAAUUUCAAGCCAGUGGGUCUUAUCUUGCUGGGCUCCAUGGAUGUGGGACCGGCUGAGCCAGGCACGGGAGGGUAUCGCCUGUUCUGCCGAUUGUGAAGGCCCUGGGAAAAGUGCAGUAUCUGGGCCAGAGAUCACCAUUCCUCCGGGUACAGUUUCUCAUGGCUUCCCUUGGCUAGGGAAAUGAAAUCCCUGACCCCUUGUGCUUCCCGGCAUUAUACUGUGGAUGUUUUUUUUUUUUCUGAGACAGAGUUUCACUCUUGUUGCCCAGGCUGGAGUGCAAUGGUGCGAUCUUGGCUCACUGCAACCUCCGCCUUCUGGUUUCAAGCAAUUCUCCAGCCUCAGCCUCCUGAGUAGCUGGGAUUACAGGUGACAGCCAGCAUGCCCUGCUAAUUUUUGUAUUUUUAGUAGAGAUGGGGUUUUGCCAUGUUGGCCAGGCUAGUCUCAAACUCCUGACCUCAGGUGAUCUGCCCACCCCGGCCACCCAACCUGCUGGGAUUACAGGCGUGAGCCACUGUGCCAGACCCUACCCUGUGCAUCUGCUAUAUUUUUAAGUGAUUCAUGUAAAGUUUUCAGCUCAAUUCCUAACGGAUUUUCAUCUCAGUGUAAUCAAGCACAUGAAGGUCAGAGCUAUAUCCUCUGCUCCAAACUGCUCCCAGGAGUUAAGGUGUCACUGACUCAUCUGGGGAGUUAAGUUAAAUAGAAGCCUCUUUGAGAAAUUCUUCCAUCAUUCCCUUGGCAACUGUAGACCCAACAAGGG